UGGGGAAUAUUGCACAAUGGGCGCAAGCCUGAUGCAGCCAUGCCGCGUGUAUGAAGAAGGCCUUCGGGUUGUAAAGUACUUUCAGUCGGGAGGAAGGUGGUAAGGUUAAUAACCUUGGCAAUUGACGUUACCGACAGAAGAAGCACCGGCUAACUCCGUGCCAGCAGCCGCGGUAAUACUGAGGGUGCAAGCGUUAAUCGGAAUUACUGGGCGUAAAGCGCACGCAGGCGGUUGAUUGAGUCAGAUGUGAAAUCCCCGGGCUUAACCCGGGAAUUGCAUCUGAUACUGGUCAGCUAGAGUCUUGUAGAGGGGGGUAGAAUUCCAUGUGUAGCGGUGAAAUGCGUAGAGAUGUGGAGGAAUACCGGUGGCGAAGGCGGCCCCCUGGACAAAGACUGACGCUCAGGUGCGAAAGCGUGGGGAGCAAACAGG
rnacentral:rRNA from 1 species